CCAGGAGAUUUAGCAGUUGAUAUAAUGGAUAAUUUAUGGUAUACCUCUUCUUCUUUAAUGAUAAACUCUGGUGAAAUGUCAUAAUGGCUGUUUUCUGGUAAAAUGUCGAUAUGAAAACGAUUUAAAGGAGGGAUUUUUUUGGUAACUGAAACAAAAGCGUCAUUAAUAUUCUCGGCCAGGGCUUUUCCUGACAUCUGGGUCUGCAUAUAUAUUAAAGAUACCGUAUAAUUUUCAGUGUUGGAUGAAUUAUUU